UACGGGGGGCAAGCGUUGUUCGGAAUUACUGGCGUAAAGGGCUCGUAGGCGGCCAACUAAGUCAGACGUGAAAUCCCUCGGCUUAACCGGGGAACUGCGUCUGAUACUGGAUGGCUUGAGUUUGGGAGAGGGAUGCGGAAUUCCAGGUGUAGCGGUGAAAUGCGUAGAUAUCUGGAGGAACACCGGUGGCGAAGGCGCAUCCUGGACCAACACUGACGCUGAGGAGCGAAAGCCAGGGGAGCAAAGCGGG
rnacentral:rRNA from 1 species